GUGGCAAGACCCAGAAAUACUGGGCAACAGCAUGCAUAUAUCAAUGCAUGCAGAUACAUGUGCUACACUUAACUAUUUCUUUACAUUCUGUCACAUGUCAUCUCAGAGACAAAAGCUUUGCUGAGACACAUCAGAGCUGGCAAUAGAGUGGGCAAGACUUCUGUUCUGUAUCAAAGAGAGACUUUUUCACUGAUUCUCAAAGAAAAAAAACAAAGCACAUUUAUGUACAGCAGAAGUUGAAAAUUCACUGCCCUUACACACAAGCAAGCAUCUUCAUUCCCUCAACGCAACGCACACAUGUGUGUGCAUGCCCAGACAUGCACUGUGCUCAUCCGUGGUUGUGCACAGUGACUUUCUGCAGCUGGGGACUCACCUCACAAAGGAAUAGAGAAGAAGCACACAUGUAUGGACAAGAUACAGAUAAAGUAUAGCUAUCUAAGAAAGAUGAGUGCCAUGACCUUUGGAGCAUUUCCUUGGAGAUCCUUGAAAUCUGGCUCAUGGAAGUACUGACAGAAGUUGUUUCCUCUAAAUGAAACCCAAAGUGGAAGCCUCUUCAAGUGUGCAUAUCAGGAAUCUUCUCA
ensembl:lncRNA